rnacentral:rRNA from 1 species
CUUAGCGUACACAUCCAUGAGUACCCUUCCAUGUUGCUUCCCCAGAUCAGUAGCCACUGCUACCAGCUCGGUAUCCUAAUGUGGGUUCUCGGGUUGAGGUGUCUGGGGAAGGCUUACUAUUAAACUUUUGAACCAAUUAGUCGUCUGAGAAGGCCAUCUGCCGCAAACUUUAUAAUAUAUUAAAACUUUCAACAACGGAUCUCUUGGCUCUCGCAUCGAUGAAGAACGCAGCGAAAUGCGAUAAGUAAUGUGAAUUGCAGAAUUCAGUGAAUCAUCGAAUCUUUGAACGCACAUUGCGCCCUUUGGUAUUCCUUAGGGCAUGCCUGUUCGAGCGUCACUAAAAACCACCUCACAGAUAAUGUGGUAUUGGUAGAAGUGGGUAGUACUAGCAGUACUUUGUUCUACUCUACUGAAAUGAAUAGGCCAGAAAAUUGGACCAUGGUAACAGGCUCUCAGAGUGUUUUAAAAUGCUAAACUAGUCUUAACCAGGUUCGAAUCUGAGUCACUGG